rnacentral:rRNA from 1 species
GCCCCGUUUAUGCAGCAGAUCGGGAUGGUUGAGUAUCUCGCCUCUCAGUUCUGCCUGUAUUCUACCCUUGUUUCUCUUACACUAUUAUUUCCUCGGCAGGCAAGCCUGCCGAGUGAAACCACUUAUAACCUAUUUAAUUUUCAAUCAGCGUCUGAAAACUAUAAUAAUUACAACUUUCAACAACGGAUCUCUUGGUUCUGGCAUCGAUGAAGAACGCAGCGAAAUGCGAUAAGUAGUGUGAAUUGCAGAAUUCAGUGAAUCAUCGAAUCUUUGAACGCACAUUGCGCCCCUUGGUAUUCCAUGGGGCAUGCCUGUUCGAGCGUCAUUUGUACCUUCAAGCUUUGCUUGGUGUUGGGUGUUUGUCCUGAGGGACUCGCCUUAAAGUAAUUGGCAGCCAGUGUUUUGGUUUUGAAGCGCAGCACAAGUCGCGAUUCAAAGCUAUACGCCAGCUUCCACAAGCCUUUUUCACUUUUGACCUCGGAUCAGGUAGGGAUACCCGCUGAACUUAAGCAUAUCAAUAAGCGGAGGAA